GAUGAACGCUAGCUACAGGCUUAACACAUGCAAGUCGAGGGGAAACGAUAUUGGAAGCUUGCUUCUGAUAGGCGUCGACCGGCGCACGGGUGAGUAACGCGUAUCCAACCUGCCCAUCACUUGGGGAUAACCUUGCGAAAGUAAGACUAAUACCCAAUGACGUCUCUAGAAGACAUCUGAAGGAGAUUAAAGAUUUAUCGGUGAUGGAUGGGGAUGCGUCUGAUUAGCUUGUUGGCGGGGUAACGGCCCACCAAGGCGACGAUCAGUAGCCGGCCUGAGAGGGUGAACGGCCACAUUGGGACUGAGACACGGCCCAAACUCCUACGGGAGGCAGCAGUGGGGAAUAUUGCACAAUGGGGGAAACCCUGAUGCAGCGACGCCGCGUGAGUGAUGAAGUAUUUCGGUAUGUAAAACUCUAAUCAGCAGGGAAGAUAAUGACGGUACCUGACUAAGAAGCACCGGCUAAAUACGUGCCAGCAGCCGCGGU
rnacentral:rRNA from 1 species